UACGUAGGGUGCAAGCGUUGUCCGGAAUUAUUGGGCGUAAAGAGCUCGUAGGCGGUCUGUCGCGUCUGCUGUGAAAACUCAGGGCUUAACCCUGAGCUUGCAGUGGGUACGGGCAGACUAGAGUGCGGUAGGGGAGACUGGAAUUCCUGGUGUAGCGGUGAAAUGCGCAGAUAUCAGGAGGAACACCGGUGGCGAAGGCUGGUCUCUGGGACGGUACUGACGCUGAGACGCGAAAGCGUGGGGAGCGAACAGG
rnacentral:rRNA from 1 species